UGGAACACAUGUCUUGGGAGCCCUUAUUGCCACCACGUAAAAGUCUGGCUGCCCUGACGGUGCCAUGCUGGAGAAAUCAUGAGGAGAGACCACACAAAGAAAGAUGCCCAAGGAGACUUGGCUGUCCCAUCCCCCCCAGCUGUUCAAGUCUUCUUUGCCUAGGACUUACAGGAGUCCAGAAGCCUUUAAGAUGCCCAGACACCAUCUGACUGCAACUUCACAUGAGAACCUGAGCCAGAACCAUUCAACCAAGCUGCUACUGAAACUAUGAGAGAUGACAAGUGACUAUUAUUGCUUUAGCCAAUAAGUUUUGGAGUGUUUGAUCUAUGUUAGCAUCAACCGAUAACUAAUACAGAUUUCGGUACCUGUAAGUGGGGAGGGGUGGGGAGGUAUGGCUGUAACAAAAAACUAAAAACACAGCAGAUUUGAGGCUUUGAGGACAGAAGUUGGAAGCGUAUGGAAGAAACUGUGGAAUCUGAUGUUCUUCAAGGAGGCCACCUACAAGUGCUUAAAGGAAACCCAUAGAUCAAGAGGAACUCUACAGGAAGAGCUGUAUUUGAGAAAUUCGUCCGGGGAGCCUCAUCUGAACCUGGACCUGAUUAGAUGACAAGGCCUAGGACUUCAAGUUGAUGCUGCAGCAUGAUGAGACGUGGGGAACUUGGAAAGAGAACAGCUCUCUGUUAAAGCUACCUUUGCCUGCCAGAGGAAUCAAAGAAUCCAAAGUGUCUCAAAACGGGGCCGGAAACACGCAUUAAGGAACAACAUGGAGAGACAAUGCAGGGCAACUGCUCUGAUGGGGACUCUCAAUACCUCUGGAGAGGGGACUUCCCCGGGACUACAGCUGUUCAAGAAUAACUGCAGAGAGCCAGGUGGGAGGUCGUUUGCAAAAACAACAUAGCCUGUAAAAUAGAAUGGAAUGACAUAAAAGAAAAUAACACCAUAUGAAAUAAAAUAAUAAAAUGGCCAAGCUAAAUUAAUGUCAGAGGACCCAACACCCACUCUUAGUCUCAGAGUAUCCACCUGUCCAGCCCUAGCCAGUUGACGUGGUCCACCCAGGCCCUCGGAGCAAUGGGGAUCAUCCUGGCAAAACAGUAAGAUGAAGUGGGGUCUGUGUUGACGCCACAGCCCGUGCUGGCACCUGUUCUGCUGUACUUGGCUUUGGGGCCCAAGUGAGCAUGGAGCUGAUACUGAAUUUCAUUACCCUUCCCACCAAAGAAUAACAAACCUCCACUCUUUCCCUAUUACAUCAAUAUCUGCCAUAGCACAUAGGAUUAGAAAUACCUAGAAACCCAGAAACCUAGUAAUGAAACCUCAGGAAUCUGAAGGCUAAACUUUGAUGCCUCCCCACAAAGCAGCCAUACCUGAGAGCUUUGGGUUGGGGAUGCAUCUGCUUCUGAACAAGGAAAUGACCAGCGUGGAGCUGAGCACAUCAUGAGCCGGCACAGGAAGCAGAAAUAGGUUAGCAGAAUAUGCAUAAUCAUGACAAGGCAUGGGACAGGGGAACUGGAUGGUGCUUAAAUCGUUUGUGCCUAAAGAGGUCAAUGUCACCCAGGGGAGUCAAGGUUGACAGCACACAGCCCUCCGUGAAGCGGAGCCUCGUAUCUUAUCGUAUGUGGCUGAUGUAAGUACAGCUGUGAUUAGGUUAACUGUUGGAGGAAACGAAAUACAAUGGGCUUG